UACGUAGGGAGCAAGCGUUUGUCCGGAAUCAUUGGGCGUAAAGCGCGCGUAGGUGGCCCAGUAAGUCCGUUCUGAAAGUCACAGGCUCAACCUGUGAAAGCGGAUGGAUACUGCUGGGCUAGAGUCCGGAAGAGGCGAGUGGAAUUCCUGGUGUAGCGGUGGAAUGCGCAGAUAUCAGGAGGAACACCGGUGGCGAAAGGCGGGGUCUCUGGGGCCGAUACUGACGCUGAGGAAGCGAAAGCGUGGGGGAGCGAACAGG
rnacentral:rRNA from 1 species